GACGAACGCUGGCGGCGUGCUUAACACAUGCAAGUCGAACGGAAAGGCCCUGCUUUUGUGGGGUGCUCGAGUGGCGAUCGGGUGAGUAACACGUGUGUAACCUGCCCUUGACUUUGGGAUAACUUCAGGUAACUGGGGCUAAUACCGGAUAGGAGCUCCUGCUGCUUUGUGGGGGUUGGUAAGUUUAGGCGGUUGGGGAUGGACUCGCGGCUUAUCAGCUUGUUGGUGGGGUAGUGGCUUACCAAGGCUUUGACGGGUAGCCGGCCUGAGAGGGUGACCGGCCACAUUGGGACUGAGAUACGGCCCAGACUCCAACGGGAGGCAGCAGUGGGGAAUAGUGCAAAAUGGGAGGAAGCCUGAUGCAGCAACGCCGCGUGCGGGAUGACGGCCGUCGGGUUGUAAACCGCUUUCGCCUGUGACGAAGCGUGAGUGACGGUAAUGGGUAAAGAAGCACCGGCUAACUACGUG
rnacentral:rRNA from 1 species